rnacentral:lncRNA from 1 species
AUCUUAUGAGUCGUCAAAUUAUUUUAACAAACCUACUUAUCAUAACAGAAAAAAGGAUCACUGAUCUUUACAUUUGACUGCAAAAUUAAUAAUUUGUAAGUUCAAACAGAACAAUAUAAAAAAUUAUACCUAAGACACGUUAGCUAAUUUAAUAUUUGGCCUUUCAUUCCAUCUCCACUAGUUAAUUGAACUUUUCACAUGAACUGGAUACCUAAUGAAUAAAAUGAGCAUAUUCUUUUUAGGUUUAUCCUAAUGUAACUUUUUACCGCUACGACAAUUCACGAUAAUGUUAUUCAAAAAUAUAAUGUGGGUUUUUGCUUAUUAUAAAUAAAAUUAAUUUGUUGAUGUCCAAAAAAUAAAUAAUUUGUUACUCAUUUUUGGUACACUUGUCAAAUGCAAUCAAACUGAAAAAAAUUCCCAAAAGAGAAAAUAAAUAAAUCGCGAACACUAAUUACACACGUGGUUAUAAAAAGCUUUGCUCGAUAUAUAU